rnacentral:rRNA from 1 species
CGUACCCCAAACCGACACAGGUGGUCAGGUAGAGAAUACCAAGGCGCUUGAGAGAACUCGGGUGAAGGAACUAGGCAAAAUGGUGCCGUAACUUCGGGAGAAGGCACGCUGAUAUGUAGGUGAAGCGACUUGCUCGUGGAGCUGAAAUCAGUCGAAGAUACCAGCUGGCUGCAACUGUUUAUUAAAAACACAGCACUGUGCAAACACGAAAGUGGACGUAUACGGUGUGACGCCUGCCCGGUGCCGGAAGGUUAAUUGAUGGG